rnacentral:rRNA from 1 species
UACGUAGGGGGCUAGCGUUAUCCGGAUUUAUUGGGCGUAAAGAGCGUGUAGGCGGCCAGGUAGGUCUGCUGUGAAAACUCGAGGCUUAACCUCGAGAUGUCGGCGGAAACCAUCUGGCUAGAGUCCGGAAGAGGAGAGUGGAAUUCCUGGUGUAGCGGUGAAAUGCGCAGAUAUCAGGAAGAACACCAGUGGCGAAGGCGGUUCUCUGGGACGGUACUGACGCUGAGACGCGAAAGCGUGGGGAGCGAACAGG